CAAUCCAGACUACACUAUAGUGUAAAACGCGCACCUUACUACAGACAGUACGGAAGUGUUUACACGGCUGGGAGAUGUCCUGACUGUCUGUGCAGCAUUUUAACGCUUGUUUGCACUAGAUUGUGUUUUGAGUUUUGAAUCGCGUCCAAGGAUGUUAUUACUGCUGGUACUCAGUGCCUGUGCAGGUGCAGGCCUUUCAUUUGACAUUUAUAAGGAAUUUUAUGGCGAAACACACAAGAUAAUUCUGCCCAGAAAGGCUGAGUCCAUAGACUUUCUCCCAGAAUACGAUGCAGGUAAAAUCACAUUAUGGAAUCGUGAUGAUCCUCAGACAGUGGAGGACAGCAGGAGGAAGGUGGUCGGCUCUGACUACGUGAUAAUGAAUACUACCCAGGAAGACAACGGCCGCUACGUAAUAAAAGACAAAGAUGGGACAGCUCUGGUUUGGCACAUCCUGGAGGUGAAAGCAAAAAAGAAGAAGUAUUCAAAGAAGAGGGGUGAGAGCGUUCUCAUGUCUUCUGUUUUGGAAGGGAUCAACUGCAACAUCUACUUCUACCCAGUAAAUCGCACUGAGCUCAUAGCUUAUCGGGGCAGGCCACAAAACCUGUCUGUGUGUACAGGGCUCACUUAUAAAAAACCAUGUGAAGUUUCCAACGCUGCUCUGGAAAAAUCCUGUGAGGGACGGUUCGAAUUCAGGGAUCAAUUAGACAACAGGGCCUUGGUGGCGUAUUUGAAAAUUGAACCUUUAUUUUAUGAAAAGCCGUCUUUUGGUGCCGGUGUUGCUGUAGCCGUCCUCUCAGUUCUUGGUGGCUGUGUGAAGGUCUGCUGUUGUGACAAGCGCACCUCAAAAAAGAAAAAAACAGCCUCUCCUACUGCUGAUGAAGACCCGGAGGCCCACAACGAACUGUCUGUGUUUAACGAUGAGGGUCACCACGAGCCUACUGGACCAAACCAUGAGCCCUCUGGGACGCUCUACCCUGCUCUGCCUUCAGACCCACUGAAUCACAAUGAGCCUCUCGGACCCAGUGGAGAACCACUCAGUGAGCCCUUCGGGACGCUCUAUUCUGCUCAGCCUUCAGUCCCACUGGUGAGUGUGUAGUGUUUCACAGAUGUCUCUUGUACUACUACUUCUCCUUCUCCUCUAAUAUGUGUUGUAUCUUUCUGU
rnacentral:lncRNA from 1 species